GCUGACGUUGAAGGAGGGGUUGUUGUCAUGGUACCCCACCAUCAGCUCCUUUGUCUUGCUGACGUUGAAGGAGGGGUUGUUGUCCUGGUACCCCACCAUCAGCUCCUUUGUCUUGCUGACGUUGAAGGAGGGGUUGUUGUCAUGGUACCCCACCAUCAGCUCCUUUGUCUUGCUGACGUUGAAGGAGGGGUUGUUGUCAUGGUACCCCACCAUCAGCUCCUUUGUCUUGCUGACGUUGAAGGAGGGGUUGUUGUCAUG